rnacentral:rRNA from 1 species
GACGAACGCUGGCGGCGUGCUUAACACAUGCAAGUCGAACGGAAAGGCCCUGCUUUUGUGGGGUGCUCGAGUGGCGAACGGGUGAGUAACACGUGAGUAACCUGCCCUUGACUUUGGGAUAACUUCAGGAAACUGGGGCUAAUACCGGAUAGGAGCUCCUGCUGCAUGGUGGGGGUUGGAAAGUUUCGGCGGUUGGGGAUGGACUCGCUGCUUAUCAGCUUGUUGGUGGGGUAGUGGCUUACCAAGGCUUUGACGGGUAGCCGGCCUGAGAGGGUGACCGGCCACAUUGGGACUGAGAUACGGAGCAGAAGCGUACGGGAGGCAACGGUGGAAAGUAUUACACAGUGAGCGGAAGCGUGAUACGGAGGCGCCGCGUGCGGGAUGACGGCCUUCGGGUUAAGAACCGCUUUCGACUGAGACGAAGCGUGAGUGACGGUAAUGGGUAAAGAAGCACCGGCUAACUACGUG